UACGUAGGGUGCAAGCGUUGUCCGGAAUUAUUGGGCGUAAAGAGCUCGUAGGCAGUUUGUCGCGUCUGCUGUGAAAACGCGAGGCUCAACCUCGCGCCUGCAGUGGGUACGGGCAGACUGGAGUGCGGUAGGGGAGAUUGGAAUUCCUGGUGUAGCGGUGGAAUGCGCAGAUAUCAGGAGGAACACCGAUGGCGAAGGCAGAUCUCUGGGCCGUUACUGACGCUGAGGAGCGAAAGCGUGGGGAGCGAACAGG
rnacentral:rRNA from 1 species